AUGCAACCACUAAAAAGAUGGGAAACGUACUUACCUCUGGGAAAAGUUAUUCCUGGAACAAGGCUGAUUACAUUUAAAGUGCCACUCAAAAAGGCAAUGUGUGAAAAAUUGCCAGAACACGAACAAUUCACUCCAACACAUUUGUUGUCCAAGAUCCGAGAGGCUGGUUUUGAAUUGGGGAUGGUAGUUGAUCUGACAUUCACAAGGAAAUACUACAGUCCUUCUAUUUUUCGAUGUAUUGGAGGGGUUUUAUGACAGCAACGUCAACGAAAAACACGUGGUAGGAGUGCAUUGUACACAUGGCAUCAACAGAACAGGAUAUUUAGUCUGCA